GUAUGUUCCCGGUUAACACACAAGACAUUCUCAACAGAGCGACGAAUCGAUGAUUCACCAUGGAAACAGACGCUAAGAAAAAGCGCGCCAUUCUACUUCAUUCUUCUUCUUUUGUUUAAUGGCGAUUUACAUAACCUACUUGGUGCACAUCACCACCUAUUGGGUGGUUGUGCAAUAAUUUUUAAUCUUACACUGUAAUGAAUUGCUGUAAAAAUUACAGCAAUAUUUUACAGCCGAUGGCUGUAUUUUAAUAAUACAGCAUAUUGCUGUAAAUUGCAAUGAAUUCCAGGGGCGUGGCGAUUUGAAUCAAAUUUACAGAAUAUUGCUGUAAAUUUCAAAUAUACAGAGGCAUUGUGGGAUCUCCAACGGUCAAGAUUCGAGUAGCAGCAAGAGGAGUGAUUUACAACUGUGGUAUUUAUCUGGAGAGAGGAACAAAGACGAAAGGAAAAGUGCCAUCUAAAACAACAGGCAGACAGUUCAGAAGAAACGGGUUGCGUUCAACCUACAUGUGGCCACUCUUCUGUGCAAAGUGAUGGAUUUUCAGUGGAAUUUCUGAAAUCCUCUCUUUGAAUCCUGGGAUGGAACAUCAUCUGGAGCAGAAUUGUUCUUUUUUGAUCGCAAGUUUGUUGGACUUGUUGUUUGGCCAUGUUGGUAUGUUCAUGAAGUGAUAAAAGUGAUGUGGGUUUUAAGAAAUGUUUUUAUAUGACCCUGUUGGUCAAGUUAUAGUUAUAAUUGUAUUUCUUUUUGUGAAGGGCCAUGAUGGCCAAUAA